AGAUUGAACGCUGGCGGCAGGCCUAACACAUGCAAGUCGAGCGGUAGAGAGGUGCUUGCAUCUCUUGAGAGCGGCGGACGGGUGAGUAAUGCCUAGGAAUCUGCCUAGUGGGUGGGGGAUAACGUUCGGAAACGGACGCUAAUACCGCAUACGUCCUACGGGAGAAAGCGGGGGACCUUCGGGCCUCGCGCCAUUAGAUGAGCCUAGGUCGGAUUAGCUAGUUGGUGAGGUAAUGGCUCACCGAAGGCGACGACUCCGUAACUGGUCUGAGAGGAUGAUCGAGUCCACACGUGGAACUGACGACGACGGUCCAGACCUCCGUAACGGGAGGCCAGUCGAGGUAGGGGAACUAGUUAGGAACUAAGG
rnacentral:rRNA from 1 species